AUCCGUUCAAGACUAGGACGUUGAUAGGCUGGGUGUGGAAGCUAGGUAACUAGUGAAGCUAACCAGUACUAAUUGAUCGUGAGGCUUGAUCUUAUAACAUUA
rnacentral:rRNA from 1 species